rnacentral:rRNA from 1 species
AGAGUUUGAUCCUGGCUCAGGAUGAACGCUAGCUACAGGCUUAACACAUGCAAGUCGAGGGGCAGCAUGAACUUAGCUUGCUAAGUUUGAUGGCGACCGGCGCACGGGUGAGUAACACGUAUCCAACCUGCCGAUGACUCGGGGAUAGCCUUUCGAAAGAAAGAUUAAUACCCGAUGGCAUAGUUCUUCCGCAUGGUAGAACUAUUAAAGAAUUUCGGUCAUCGAUGGGGAUGCGUUCCAUUAGGUUGUUGGCGGGGUAACGGCCCACCAAGCCUUCGAUGGAUAGGGGUUCUGAGAGGAAGGUCCCCCACAUUGGAACUGAGACACGGUCCAAACUCCUACGGGAGGCAGCAGUGAGGAAUAUUGGUCAAUGGACGAGAGUCUGAACCAGCCAAGUAGCGUGAAGGAUGACUGCCCUAUGGGUUGUAAACUUCUUUUAUAAAGGAAUAAAGUCGGGUAUGGAUACCCGUUUGCAUGUACUUUAUGAAUAAGGAUCGGCUAACUCCGUGCCAGCAGCCGCGGUAAUACGGAGGAUCCGAGCGUUAUCCGGAUUUAUUGGGUUUAAAGGGAGCGUAGAUGGAUGUUUAAGUCAGUUGUGAAAGUUUGCGGCUCAACCGUAAAAUUGCAGUUGAUACUGGAUAUCUUGAGUGCAGUUGAGGCAGGCGGAAUUCGUGGUGUAGCGGUGAAAUGCUUAGAUAUCACGAAGAACUCCGAUUGCGAAGGCAGCCUGCUGGACUGUAACUGACGCUGAUGCUCGAAAGUGUGGGUAUCAAACAGGAUUAGAUACCCUGGUAGUCCACACAGUAAACGAUGAAUACUCGCUGUUUGCGAUAUACAGUAAGCGGCCAAGCGAAAGCGUUAAGUAUUCCACCUGGGGAGUACGCCGGCAACGGUGAAACUCAAAGGAAUUGACGGGGGCCCGCACAAGCGGAGGAACAUGUGGUUUAAUUCGAUGAUACGCGAGGAACCUUACCCGGGCUU